UUAGAGGAAGUAAAAGUCGUAACAAGGUUUCCGUAGGUGAACCUGCGGAAGGAUCAUUAUUGAAUGAACAUAGAGUCGGUUGUAGCUGGCCCCUUUUAACCGGGGGGCAUGUGCACGCCUUCUCUUUUCAUCCAUACACACACCUGUGAACUUGUGAGACGGAUUUCGACCCUCUCCGGGGGGGAAAGGUCCGUCUGCUAUACAUAAACUCCUGAAUAAUAAAUUAGAAUGUAAUCGAUGUAACGCAUCUUUAAACUAAGUUUCAACAACGGAUCUCUUGGCUCUCGCAUCGAUGAAGAACGCAGCGAAAUGCGAUAAGUAAUGUGAAUUGCAGAAUUCAGUGAAUCAUCGAAUCUUUGAACGCACCUUGCGCUCCUUGGUAUUCCUCGGAGCAUGCCUGUUUGAGUAUCAUGAAAUCUUCAAAAUAAAUCUUUUGUUCACUCGAUUGAUUUUAUUUUGGACUUGGAGGCUUGCAGAUUCACGUCUGCUCCUCUUAAAUUUAUUAGCUGGAUCUCGGUGAGCUCGGUUCCACUCGGCGUGAUAAGUAUCACUCGCUGAGGACACUGUAAAAGGUGGCCGGGAUUGCGGAUGAACCGCUUCUAAUAGUCCAUUGACUUGGACAAUAAAUACUUUAUGAUCUGAUCUCAAAUCAGGUAGGACUACCCGCUGAACUUAAGCAUAUCAAUAAGCGGAGGAAAAGAAACUAACAAGG
rnacentral:rRNA from 1 species